UACGAAGGGGGCUAGCGUUGUUCGGAUUUACUGGGCGUAAAGAGCGCGCAGGCGGCUGGUCAAGUCCGAUGUGAAAGCUCCCGGCUUAACUGGGAAAUUGCAUCGGAAACUGAUCGGCUGGAAGGUGGGAGAGGGUAGCGGAAUUCCCGGUGUAGUGGUGAAAUGCGUAGAUAUCGGGAGGAACACCAGUGGCGAAAGCGGCUACCUGGCCCAUUCUUGACGCUGAGGCGCGAAAGCUAGGGGAGCAAACGGG
rnacentral:rRNA from 1 species